CCUACGGGUGGCAGCAGUGAGGAAUAUUGGUCAAUGGACGAGAGUCUGAACCAGCCAAGUAGCGUGAAGGAUGACUGCCCUAUGGGCUGUAAACUUCUUUUAUAUGGGAAUAAAACAGGGUAUGCAUACCCUCUUGUAUGUACCAUAUGAAUAAGGAUCGGCUAACUCCGGGCCAGCAGCCGCGGUAAUACGGAGGAUCCGAGCGUUAUCCGGAUUUAUUGGGUUUAAGGGGAGCGUAGGUGGAUUGUUAAGUCAGUUGUGAAAGUUUGCGGCUCAACCGGAAAAUUGCAGUUGAAACUGGCAGUCUUGAGUACAGUAGAGGAGGGCGGAAUUCGUGGUGUAGCGGUGAAAUGCUUAGAUAUCACGAAGAACUCCGAUUGCGAAGGCAGCUCACUGGACUGCAACUGACACUGAUGCUCGAAAGUGUGGGUAGCAAACAGGAUUAGAUACCCUAGUAGUC
rnacentral:rRNA from 1 species